UAAAUUCAACAGUAAAAAAAAUCGAAUAUUAUCCCUUAUACCUUUUGCAUAAUGAUUUCACUAGAAUAAUUUAGCAAAAAGAAUUUAAGUUAAAUGACCUGAAACUAGAUGAGCUACUCACAAGCAGCUCUAAGAGCAAACUCAUCUACAUGGCAAAAUAGUGAGAAGACAUAUAGGUAG